rnacentral:rRNA from 1 species
GCGUGAGUGAUGAAGGCCUUAGGGUUGUAAAGCUCUUUUACCAGGGAUGAUAAUGACAGUACCUGGAGAAUAAGCUCCGGCUAACUCCGUGCCAGCAGCCGCGGUAAUACGGAGGGAGCUAGCGUUGUUCGGAAUUACUGGGCGUAAAGCGCACGUAGGCGGCUUUGUAAGUUAGAGGUGAAAGCCCAGGGCUUAACCCUGGAAUUGCCUUUAAGACUGCAUCGCUAGAAUCGUGGAGAGGUGAGUGGAAUUCCGAGUGUAGAGGUGAAAUUCGU